rnacentral:rRNA from 1 species
AUUGAACGCUGGCGGCAGGCCUAACACAUGCAAGUCGAGCGGAUGAAGGGAGCUUGCUCCUGGAUUCAGCGGCGGACGGGUGAGUAAUGCCUAGGAAUCUGCCUGGUAGUGGGGGAUAACGUCCGGAAACGGGCGCUAAUACCGCAUACGUCCUGAGGGAGAAAGUGGGGGAUCUUCGGACUUCACGCUAUCAGAUGAGCCUAGGUCGGAUUAGCUAGUUGGUGGGGUAAAGGCCUACCAAGGCGACGAUCCGUAACUGGUCUGAGAGGAUGAUCAGUCACACUGGAACUGAGACACGGUCCAGACUCCUACAGGAGGCCGCGGUGGGGAAUGUUGGAAAGUGGGCGGAAGCCUGAUCCAGCCAUGCCGCGUGUGUGAAGAAGGUCUUCGGAUUGUAAAGCACUUUAAGUUGGGAGGAAGGGCAGUAAGUUAAUACCUUGCUGUGUUGACGGUACCAGCAGAAUAAGCACCGGCUAACUUCGUG